rnacentral:rRNA from 1 species
UACGGAGGGAGCUAGCGUUGUUCGGAAUUACUGGGCGUAAAGCGCACGUAGGCGGCGAUUCAAGUCAGAGGUGAAAGCCCGGGGCUCAACCCCCGGAACUGCCUUUGAAACUAGAUUGCUAGAAUCCUGGAGAGGUGAGUGGAAUUCCGAGUGUAGAGGUGAAAUUCGUAGAUAUUCGGAAGAACACCAGUGGCGAAGGCGACUCACUGGCAGGUAUUGACGCUGAGGUGCGAAAGCGUGGGGAGCAAACAGGG